rnacentral:rRNA from 1 species
CGCAUCUGUGCAUGCAGCAUAUCAAUAAGCGGAGGAAAAGAAACUAACAAGGAUUCCCCUAGUAACGGCGAGUGAAGCGGGAAGAGCUCAAAUUUGAAAUCUUAAAGGGUUUCCCUUUACGAAUUGUAGUUUAAAGAAGUGUUUUCUGUUGAGGUUUUGGUAAAAGUUCUUUGGAAUAGGACAUCAUAGAGGGUGAGAAUCCCGUAUUUGACCUUUACAUUUCAACUUUGUGAUACACUUUCAAAGAGUCGGAUUGUUUGGGAAUGCAGUCCAAAAUGGGUGGUAAAUUUCAUCUAAAGCUAAAUAUUGGCGAGAGACCGAUAGCGAACAAGUACCGUAAGGGAAAGAUGAAAAGAACUUUGAAAAGAGAGUUAAACAGUACGUGAAAUUGUCAAAAGGGAAGCGUUUGACACCAGUGUUGUUUUUCUGAAAAUCAAUUAAAGAACUGUUUAUGCUAAGCUGUUUAGACUUUAUCAGCUAUCUGUUUAGUUUUGAGCUUUUCUUUAAUGCACUUUUCAGUUAACAAGUCAACAUCAAUUUCUUUUGCUGUAAAAAAGCUUGAGGAAGGUGGCUUGAGAUUCGUCUUAAGUGUUUAUAGCCUCUUGCCUAUGCAGUCGGAGAGAUUGAGGUCUGCAGCGUAGAUCCUUCGGGGCUAAAUGCAUUUGUGCUAAGUUAUAGCAUUUUAUAGACAACUUGUUGACUAUGAUUUGUCUUGUAGCUUACUCGCUUAUGUUAUUUUACCUACGCUUAGGAUGUUGAAUCUGUGCGAGACUAC